rnacentral:rRNA from 1 species
ACUCCUACGGGAGGCAUCAGUGGGGAAUAUUGGACAAUGGGCGAAAGCCUGAUCCAGCAAUGCCGCGUGAGUGAUGAAGGCCUUAGGGUUGUAAAGCUCUUUUACCAGGGAUGAUAAUGACAGUACCUGGAGAAUAAGCUCCGGCUAACUCCGUGCCAGCAGCCGCGGUAAUAC